rnacentral:rRNA from 1 species
GACGAACCGUGCGAACGUUGUUCGGAUUCACUGGGCUUAAAGGGCGCGUAGGCGGUCGACCAAGUCUGGGGUGAAAUCUUUCGGCUCAACCCGGAAAAGUGCCCCCGAUACUGGCCGGCUAGAGGGAGAUAGGGGCAUGUGGAACUUCCGGUGGAGCGGUGAAAUGCGUAGAUAUCGGAAGGAACGCCGGUGGCGAAAGCGACGUGCUGGAUCUCUUCUGACGCUGAGGCGCGAAAGCCAGGGGGAGCAAACGGG